rnacentral:lncRNA from 1 species
GAAAAUGAUCCACAUGCGAAUUUAUCCCAGUCUCCAUUUCUCUGGAGGGAAAUACAAACUAAGAUGAAAGAUCACUGAGAACACCGGCUUCAAGGCCACUCCACAUAUGAGAGUGGGCGUCUGUUGUUCCUGGUACUCACUGUUCGUGCUUUUCUUAUUAGAGCUGCUGCAGUCUGAUUUUGUCCUUUCCUGAUUCAGCUUUUGUGACUUUGGUGCUCACCUGAUUCCAUCCUUGAAUUUCUAUGAUUCAGGACACAGUCUAGUCUUAGGAUCAACGUGUGACUCAGGCAGAGUCUCCAAUAUGUUCACUAGGAAUAGUUCUAUUGCCCUUGUGUCCCGAGCCUGCCCAUAACAGGCUGAGAACUUCAUAGUGCUGGUCAUCAUUCAUUCAUGUAGGACUUAAGAUGUCAAUGUGGACUGGAGUAGCAGACAUCAAGAUGAAUCUCUUUCCCAUCAUUCAAGUACCUUCCUAACAAGAUUAAGGAAAGCUGCUAUGGGAGAUGGACCCUUCUCCCCGACAUCUAUCUAUCCAAUCAGAUUGAAAUGUUCUGGGUGAGAUAAUUUGUGGCACAGUUUCAAUCUUCCCUCCUAGAGGAGCUGAUGCUUCUUAGUAUCUUUGCCAAUGAGCUCAUGGAAGCUGUGGCUAAUGUGGAAUCAUUUCUGGCUUUGAUGAAAGGGGUGGGUAGCUGUGCAGUGAUGGCUGUACAUCUACUCUUUGACCAAGAGAAUGAGUUUUUGCUGAGAAAGAAGCCUAAUGAGAAGAGUGGGAAGGUCACUUCUGCUUUACUGGUGGAUUUGGACUGUCUCCAUGCUUCAGCCGGGCUCUCCUGUGGUCACGUUUACUUCUUGCUGUGACUGAAAUAUCCCAAAGAACAACCUCAAGGAGAAAGGACUUAUUUGGGUUCACAGUUUCAGAGCAUUCAGUCCGUGGUUGUCUGACCCCAUGUGUUUGGGACGAACAUCAAGGGAUGGUUAGAGUUCUGGGAGCACAGGGGAAAGUUGUUGACCUUGUAAACAGGGAGCAGAGAGUAAGACAAGAAUGGGGUAGGGAUGGGGCAUGGGAUAGGGCCAGGGAAAAUGCAACCAUGCUGCAAAUGGCCUACUUUCUUCAUCUAAGCCCCACAUCCUUAAGUUUUCAUAACAUCACCAAAUAAUGUCAGCAAAUGGGGACCAAGCAUUAGACACAUGUACCUGU